rnacentral:piRNA from 1 species
GUCCCCUGUUUUGUGAUGUAGGAUGUGGUC